rnacentral:rRNA from 1 species
CUAGCGAGACUGCCGGUAAUAAACCGGAGGAAGGUGGGGAGUGACGUCAAAUCAUCAUGCCCCUUACUGACCUGGGCUACACACGUGCUACAAUGGUUGGUACAACGAGUUGCGAGUCGGUGACGGCGAGCUAAUCUCUUUAAAGCCAAUCUCAGUUCGGAUUGUAGGCUGCAACUCGCCUACAUGAAGUCGGAAUCGCUAGUAAUCGCGGAUCAGCACGCCGCGGUGAAUACGUUCCCGGGCCUU